ensembl:lncRNA
GUUCCUGGGUAACUGACUCGGAGGGUACUGUGGUCACUUUCUAGAGUGCUCAGCUAGACAUAAACCCUUCCUUGGGAACCCCUCCUGCCCCCUGCAGCUACAGCCACCACUGGAGGGGGCCUCUGUGGCCAUAUAUGCUUCCCCUCACUGAUCAGAUUACCGGACACCUGACCCAAGACGGGCAGCAAUCAGAUUCUCCUGGAAAAUCUGAAGAUGGGACCCACAAUUAGAGUUGGUCAGCUGUGGGAAGCUGAGCUGAAAAGUCACGUAAAAUUGAGGCCAAAGCUGGCACCUUGUCAGACAAAGGAAAGCACAUGCUGACGUUACAGGGGAACACGAACCAUGUGGAGCCAGGGAAGCCAACCUGCAGAGAAUAGGAUGGAGCAGAUACACAGAAGCAGAUCGAUGGCAAAGACCAUGUGGCUCCUGAGAGAAAGAGGGAAGAAGGGCCAGUCCCUGGGAGGUCUGUCCUUCCUGCCUUUGAGCCAACUUGGGUGGAUUUCUCCUUCUUACAACUGAAAGAGCCUUGAGCAGGACAGAGCCAAGUGUAAAAAUGACUCCAUUGUUGGCUUUUUGUGGACAUGCUCCUAAUGAACUGAAUUCAAGGUCUCCAUUGCUAUACAUACCAGGCACUUUCCUCCCUUUCAGAGAUGGAAUUUACCUCUGUUCAUCCUACGAGAAUCUGUCAAGGCAACAGAACAGGCCACUAACAUGGCAAACGAGCCCGGACCGGCUUCUCACCUCUUGCCCCGACAGGAGCAAUCUGCAGAUUCCUAGGUGUGCAGAGCAGGGCGAGGCCCGAGUCUCACCCGGCUCCCUGGCCCAGCAUCUAGGAUGCAGCAGGGUGAAAGUCAAUAAAUGUCUGAUGAAAUGCAGUGUCCCCUGUUCUCCCACAUGUACUCCUCUAGCGCAAGGUGUUUCCUCAACAGCAGGACUUAAGAUAUUCUCUAGUCCUCACAUCCAGGGAAGGGGCCUUCGGUUAAUUUACAUCACGCUUCCUUUCGGGCUUGAUUUUCACAUAUACAUAAACAUGCAAAUAUUCAAAUCAUUAACAUACUCUCAUUGUAAAAACACAGACAUAAAGAGAAACUCCCCCUUUCCUUGCCUCACUAUUCUAGUCUCCUCCUCAGAGGCAGCACUGUUAAGAGUUUGGUGUGUUUUGACUUUUUCCUGUGUUUAUAUACAUAUAUGCUUGUGUAGAAAUACAUAUUUUGUUUUGUUUUUAUUAAUAUAAACGGGACCUUACUAUUAACCGUUUUGAAGCUUGCUUUCUACACUUAAGAACACUGAACUCUUUCCAUGUCAGUGUACCUUCAUCCUGCUCAUUCUUUUUAACUGUCGCAGACAUUCCCUGAUACAGAUGAGUCAUAGUUUAAACUUUACCUGUUGAUGAACAUUUUUUUUCUAGUUUUCAUCCUAAUUUUUUUUAAAGCCAGGUUUAUUGAGGUAUACUUUAUCUGCACUAAAAUUUACUUUUUAAAAUGUGCAGAUUAAGUUUUAACACAGUCAUGUGACCACCACCACAACCAGGAUUUCCACUAUGCCAGAAAGUUCCCUUGUGUUUCUUUUCGGUCAACCCUUCCAUGAACCCUCAGCCCCAGCAAACAUGGGUCUGUGUUUUUAUCCCUAUAGUUUUGCUGUUUCCGGAAUGUCAUAUAAAUGGAAGGAUACAGCACGUAGGCCUGAGUCUGGCCUGUUUCGCGUGGCACAAUACAUUAGAGAUCCUUGGUUGUCUUUAUCACUAGAUACUUUGUUUUCAUCGCUGAGAAGUAUUCCAAUGCAUGACUACACCAGUUUGUUUUAUCAAGUCACAAGUUGGUAGACAUUUGGGUGUUUUCCAGUUUUUGGCAAUUUAGAUUAAAGCUGCUGUGAACAUUUGUGUACACGGUUUUGUGUGCACAUAUUAUUCUCAUUUCCUCUGGGUAAAUACCUAGGAGUGGGAUUGCUGGGUUGUACAGUGGUAUGUUUAACUUCACAAAAAAAUGCCAAACUGGUUUUCAAUGUACCUGUCUAAUUUUGCAUUCCCAUGAGUGAUGUGUGAGCGUUUGGUUGCUCUGCAUGCUCAUCAGUGGUGCUGUCAGGUUUCCAAAAUGUGAGACAUUCUGGAAGCAAUCUAACCUCAUCCUGCUGUGGUUUCACUUGCAUUUCCCUAAUGACCAGUAACAUUGAGCAGCUUUUGAUGUGCUUCUUCGGCCAUCUAUACCUUCUUGGUGAGGCGCAUGUUUACAUUUAUUGCCCAUUUUUAAAUUGAGUUGUUUUGCUAUUACUGAAUUUUGAGAGAUCGUCAUACAGUCUAGAUACAAGUCCUUUAUAUGUGUUUUAUAAAUAUUUUCUUCUCUGUAGAAUUCUUAAAGCUCCCUUUCAACAUCAUUGAUGACAGAUUACUUAUUUCUGAAGUGCUAUCAGUGGUUUCAUGCUGUACUGGUGUCUCUUUGGAGACCCACAUUUGAACACGUGGCUGAGUGAAUGCUCACUCAGGUCUCAGCUGUGUCCUUGCGGUGGGGAGGAGGUCACUGGUGGUCUGGAGGGGAAUCAGGCAGUAGGCUAGCUUAAGGAAGGGACUCAUUUGAGAACUGAUUUGGCAGCUUACCAUUGAAUCAUACGUGACUUUUCCAAAGCCUGUAUUUUCUAUUUCCACUGAAUUAACAAAGAUUCCUUAACAGUGUAUCGAACACUUUUGACACAGCUCUAUUCAUUCCUUUCCUAUCCUACAUUCACUCCUCAUGGGAUGAAUACACUAGGCUGAGCCUGCUCUGGGAAACUCAGCUGCUCCAGAUCUCUUAUUUUAUUAUUUUAUUUUAUUUUGGCAAGGAAGAGUGACCUUGAGCUAACAUCUGUUGCCAAUCUUCCUCUUUUUUGCUUGAGGAAGAUUGUCCCUGAGCUGACAUCUGUGCCAGUCUUCCUCUAUUUUGUACGUGGGACACUGCCACAGCACGGCUUGAUGAGCGGUGUGAAGAUCCGCACCCAGGAUCCAAACCCAUGACCCUAGGCCACCAAAGCAGUGUGUGUGAACUUAACCACUAUGCCACUGGGCUGGCCUCUAUUUUAUGUUACUUUUUUUAAAGAUUGGCACCUGAGCUAACAACUGUUGCUAAUCUCUUUUUUUUCCUUUUCUCCCCAAAUCCCCCUAGUACAUAGUUACACAUUCUAACUGUGGGUCCUUCUAGUUGUGGCAUGUGGGACGCUGCCUCAGUAUGGCCUGAUGAGCGGUGCCAUGUCCAUGCCCAGGAUCCAAACCAGUGAAACCCUGGGCCACUGAAGUGGAGCACGUGAACUUACCCACUGGGUCACAGGGCCAGGCCCAUAUUUUUUUUAACUGAAAUAUAUUUGAUAUAUAAUACAGUGUGAAUUUAGGGUAUACAACAUGUUGAUUUGAUAUAUUUAUAUAUUGUGGUAUGAUAGCCAUUGUGGCAAUAGUUAGCACCUCUAUCACAUCACACAAUUAUUUCUUUGUCAUAGUUGGAAUUAAGACCUAGUCUCUUUGGAAGUUUGAUUAUAAUAUUGUUAUAUUUUAUAUAGUUUAUAUAGUUUUAUAUAGUGUUAUAUAGUUGCAAGUCUGUAUCCUUACACAACAUCUCUCUUAUCCCCCAACCUUCUAGCCCCUGGUAACCACCAUUUUACUCUGUUUUUACAAGUUUGACUUUUUCAGAUUCCACAUAUAAGUGAUAUCAUGGAGUAUUUGUCUUUCUCUGACUUAUUCCACUUAGUAUAAUGCCUUCAAGGUCUAUCCACGUUGUUGUAAAUGGCAGGAUUUUGUUCUUUCUCAUGGCUGAAUAAUAUUCCAUUCAUCCAUUGACAGGCACUUAGGUUCUUUCCACAUCUUGGCUAUCGUAAAUAAUGCUGCAAUAAACACAGGAGUGCAUGUAUAUCUUCAAUAUCCUGUUUUCAUUUCCUUUGGGUAUAUACCCAGAAGUGGAAUUGCUGGAUCAUAUGGUAGAUCUGUUUUCAAUUUUUUGAGGAAUCUCCAUAUUGUUCUCCAUAGUGGCUGAACCAAUUUAUAUUCCCAUCAAUAGUGUACAAGGGUUCCCUUUUCUCCACAUCUUUGCCAACACAUGUUAUCUCCUGAUCUCUUAAUGAAAGCCAGUCUAACAGGUGUGAGGUGAUAGCUCAUUGUGGUUGUCAUUUGCAUUUCCCUGAUGAAGAGCAAUGCUGACCACCUUUUCAUGUACCUGUUGACCACUUGGAUGUCCUUCUCCAGCGGCUCCAGAGUUUUCACCUGCAAAUGGUAAGUCAGGCCAACCACCCACCAGCGGCUGGCUUAUCAUCACUAAUUGAGGAAAAGAAUAAGGAGCUCUCUCUACUUUAGCCUCAGCUCUUACGUAGGUCCUCCAGUCCUGCUGGGAGUUACUGGGCCUCCAUUAAUACAGCGAAUUGUUUGAUCCCAUUUAGCUCCCGCUCCCUGUUUAUCUUUACUGAUUAUAGUUUGCAGUGGUGGAAGGGUAAAUGAUUGGGACCUCAAAUCUCUAACACACAAAUCACUAAGGUCACUUCUGACUGAUAUUUUAAUUGAACUAUAUUAAAAUGUGUUCAGGGAUGAAGCAGAGUGAAAAAGUAAGCUGCAAAUAAGGGAGUACUUGGGGUGUUUGCAUCAUUUUGAACUUGUGUGCACAACCAAAGGUGGUUAGCCUAGUUCCUCAUUCUGGGUCCAGGGUGAGAUGACCUGACCCCCAAGUUCUUCCAUCAGACUGAGACUGCAUUUGACUUGUUCAGCCACAGUCAUUUACUACCCCACUGUAUCUGUAAGUACGCUGAAUGUGUGUGGGUUCUCACUCCAGCCACCAUGGGAAGUAAGGCUGCUUCCUAAGGCCCUUGUUCUUCCUGUAUUUCCUGCCUCUUGACUCUUACUGAACUCCUAGACCCCUUCAAAACCCAGCUCAGAUACAAACUCCUUUAAGAAGGCUUUCCUUAUUCCCCAAAGAUGUAAUUAAUCUUUUCUCUCUCUGUGCUACUUCCAUAUUUUACAUAUUCUAUAUAUUAUAAAGCUAAUACUGACAAAGUACUUUCUAUGUGUCAUGCAGUGUUCUAAGUGCUUAACAUAUAUCAACUCAUUUAAUUUUCAUCACAAUUCUAUGAGGAAGAUACUCUCAAUAAUCCUACUUUGCAGAUGAGGAAACUGAGAAGGUAAGUGGCUUGCUCUAAGUCACAGGCUUUGAAUCCACGUAGCUCUUAAAACACUCUGCCAUGCAUUUCUACUGCAGCACUUAAUGCACUAUUUUGCCAUUUAUUUGUUUCCAAGUCCUUUUCAAUACUGUGAGCUCCUGAAAGCAAGGACCUGUCUUAUUUGUUCAUCUCUGUAUCCCCAUCACUUGGCAGUCCCCAAGCUGAUCGACUUCCUUUGUGCUCACUAGGCCAUGGCAGAGACCCUCAACUGUGACCAGCCAAGUCAAAAACUUUCUCAUGAGCCUGGGACUGAACAUCCACAGGGUAGUCUAAGAUGUGACUAAGUCAAGUACAAUGGCCAUUUGCAGUAAUUCCUGAGAAAUAGCUCACCUGAAUCUAGAGCAAAAAAAGGAACCUCACCCCACAAGUAAGAAACCCCAGAACCUGAACAAGAAUUUGGAAAUCAAAUCUCUAAGGCAAAUCAACUGGGGCAGAAUCCACGAUCAACUCUUUCUGAUUCAGAAGAGAUAACUCGGGCUGGCUCCGUGGCCGAGCGGUUAAGUUUGCGCGCUCCACUUCGGCAGCCCAAGGUUUCACCGGUUCGAAUCCUGGGCGCAGACAUGGCACAGCUCAUGAGGCCAUGCUGAGGAGGCAUCCCACAUGCCACAACUAGAACCCACAACUAAAAAUACACACCUAUGCACCGGGGGGCUUUGGGGAGAAAAAGAGAAAAUAAAAUCUUAAAAAAAAAAUAAAGAUAACUUGAGAUUUUGCUACCCUUCAGUGAGGAAAAGUCAAGCAUGAGAGUUAUAUGUCAAUUAUAACUCAAUAAUAAAAACAAGAAAAACAAAGAAACAAACAUGAGAGACUCUGGGCAGGUGAACUGCAGCUGUGGGCAAUCAGCAGCAUAGCACCCAUUAUGUAACACGUAAUAGUAACUAAGAGUCUGCACUCCAGAGGGCUAUCCUGGGAUUUGAAUCCGGCUCUGACCCUGACUACUGUAUGACCUUGGUCAGGUUCUUCAACCUCUCAAUGCCUGAGAUUCUACAUCUAUAAAACAAAGGUAACAAGAGAACACAUGCUGUAGGAUUGUUGUGAGGAUUAAUUGAGUUAUAUGAGAGGAGUUAAUGCUUAGGACAGCGUCUAGCACGUAAUAAGGAUCCAACAAAAACAAGCUAUUUUUCUUCCUGCUUAUUUAGUAACGUAGGCAGAGAGCUGAUGGUAUGUAAGGCACAUUAUCGCAAACAUCUAUCACCUCUACCCCUGGCGCCUGGCACAGAGUGGGCAUCAGUGGGUUUUCACUGAAUGAAGAAUUGCCAAUGAAUGAGCUUUUGUUCAAGGAGAGAAACCAGAAUGGCAAUUAGAAGUAAGACUUAAACGUCAAGAGGACCAGCCCAGUAAACUCUCUAAUUUAGCAUUCUAUAACAAGAUUAACAUAUCACAGGCAUCUAUUGCUAUGUAUUCAUAAUAAUGAUUCUUAGG